rnacentral:lncRNA from 1 species
ACUGAAUAUAGUCUAGUGGAGUACACCAAUUACAUACUGCAUGUAAACAUGAUUAAACAAAUGAACAGCUUUCUGUUGUUUCAAGAAAAUGAACCAUAAUAAUGAGAUAUUAAUUGUGAUCUUUAAUUAAGUAAUCAAAAGACUUUAUCACUCCACCAACUGUGCGUGAAAUCAUUAAUAAAUGACGGAGGUGCAACAAUGUUACUGUGGUGUCAGGAAAAAGUCACAACUUACUGUUUUUUUUUUUGUUUUUUUUUCAAUGAUGCAUCAUACUUUGAUGGUUAAACUAGAAGAUACGACAUUGUACAGGAAACGCACACUAGUAGGAUGCAUUCAGUAAUUUUUCUAAUGUCUACCUAAAUCUUAUUUGUCUCAGUAGCAUCAAUGGCCCUAGCAGAAACCUAAAUGUGUGGAUGUGAUCAGUUACUAACUGCUAUUUCACAGCAAUGCUGUGUACUUUUAUUUUUCUCUCUCUGCCUUAUGCUGCACACAUCCAUUGUGGAAAUUUGUGGGCUCCACUGGUCUUUGCUCCUGAUUCACCGUGGGUGAAGAGAAAAGCCAUAGAGCCAGAACCAGUGCCUGUCACAGAUCUCCUGCUGGAGCAGUCAUUCGUCCUGAAGCCUGAGCCUGCUGCCCUGUCUGUCCCAGAGCUGAAGCCAAUUGCCAUGUCCAUCCUGGAGAAAGUACUGGUAGGUCUUGUCCCACCAAUAUCCCUAGUCCUAAAGCUCUUCCUUGUCUGCUGGUCCCAUCCGGCCUCCUGGCUCCUUUAUCCUCGCCAGUUCCAUCCAGCUUCUUGGCUCCUCCUCUCCUGCUUGCUCUAUCCAGCUUCCUCAGCUCGGAUCCCCCUGCUUGUCACUCUGCCUCUGCCACAAGCGAUUGGGGCUCUGGCUACGCUUCAGCCCUCCACCCCUUUGGAUCCAUUGGGAUUCCCCUCCUUCCCUCUGGCUCCUUUGUCUUUGUUCCCACUGGCUCAGUCUGCCGAGUCCCCAGCUCCACCUCAUCCCGUGAGCUUGCAGCUCUACCUUGGUCCACUAGACCACUGUCAUUAAUCCAUUCAUCCAAAUGAUUUGUUAAUUCCGUAACACAGCUUUGUUUGAAACCUUCUUCACUGGCAGUGCAAAAACCGAUAUGGCAACUGGCAAUAUUGUGUCUAAAAUGCAGGUUACUUACAGUAACACUACUAUUGAUUGAGCUAACAUUAACUUAACAAUGGGCCUUAUUCAUGAAACACGAGCAGAAUGAUUUUUUGUGUAAAUCAUUCGUAAAGCUGUUCUGACGCAAACUUUCGAAUUCAUGAAAAUGUUCGUAUUUUCAAAAUGUUAGUUGGUACGAAAGAAAUGUACACCUGCUCCCUACCACGUGUAAAUGGUGCGUAAAAAGUUCUGUGUUCUUUUUGGCAAACUGAUGACACUGAAAUUUGAUGCACUGCCAUAAUAAUUAAAAGGUCAUUUGCCCUUGCCCUCUUUUUGA